rfam:Azotobacter vinelandii DJ, complete genome.
GUGAGGGCGACCGAGCGUGGGGAGGAAGCGCGGAGCGUAAAUCGUGAGCCGAUGAACAAGAACCGCAUAGAAGGCGCUGCCGAGCAGGGCAAGCGGGCCAGUAACCGCGAAGCUCUUGUGACCAAGGCGAGGCGGCGUAGAUGCGGCGGUUGUGCGGUGAAGGAGUGCGUUC